CAGCUCCUGAGGAGGGAGGGUGAAGUGCUGCUUAGACUGGUGCCAAGAUGAGAGUCAGGGGUGCAGGGGUCACCACAUCUCCCCUCGUCACUCACAGGACAUUGAGCCCUUUGGAAGAGGGAACACCCUGCGUCUCAAAGUUCUAAGGAUGGCAAAGACUAUGAGCUAACAUUAGCAGCCAGCCCACCCUGCCAUCUUUCUUUCUCUAGAGCACUGAGACCCAACAUGUGACCUGGGGCCAGCAGCAUCACCUAGGAAAUUAUGAGAAAUACAGACUCUCAGACCCACAGGAUCAGAAGCUGCAUUUUAACAAGACUCAUCUUUACAAGACUCCAGACAAGAACCAAGGUCUCACACCAGCCAUCAUCAAGCCCAGAGUAGACCCCAAAAGAGGAAAGUAAGACAAGAAUGAGGGUCAUCAUGGGAAGAAGGAAGUCUUGGAGAGAACCCUCACUUGACUUUGGCGGCUUCUGGAAGAUGUUGCAGCUCUGAAGGCAUGUUCAGAAUAUCAGGAAAAUGCUUCUCCAGGAUCAUGAUCAGAUGCCUCUCCACUCUAAGCCUCCUGCAACCCUCAGCCCUACCUUCCACUUUGGGCUUUGCCUCAGCCAGCCGCUCCUGGAAUUUCUUCUUGAAGAAGAGGGCUUGCAGUCGCUGCUGGUAGUGGUCGAUCCUGUAGACAAGGAGGUCAAUGUCACUCUUCUCCGGGACGAACUUGAGGAGCUGCAAAGAGCAGGCGCAAGUCACACAAGCAACUGGUUUCCCAAAGGAUCCAAAAAACUGAGAGGGAAGAGAUUUGGGGAAGAUAUCACUUUUCCUCAUCUGACUUUGCCUUGGAGUCAGAUGGGAGAACGACUCCUGGAGGACACUUAGCCUUUUCCAGCUUUCCCCAAGAAAGGCUGGCCCAGGGAGGCUUCUAUAAACCUUCUCCCUAACUCUUC